rnacentral:rRNA from 1 species
AUGCAUGUCUAAGUACAAGCCUGAAUAAGGUGAAACCGCGAAUGGCUCAUUAAAUCACACCUAAUGUACCGGACAGUUCCACUUACUUGGAUAACUGCGGUAAUUCUGGAGCUAAUACAUGCUUAAAAGCCCUGACUCACGAAAGGGCGCAUUUAUUAGAUCAAAACCAAACCGCUUGCGGUUUUAUUGGUGAAUCUGAAUAACUCUAUGCUAAUCGUAUGUGCUCCACGCCGACGAUGUGUCCGUCCAAGGUGUGCCCUAUCAACUGUCGACUGUGGCAUAGACGCCCACAGUGGUUUUGACGGGUAACGGGGAAUUAGGGUUCGAUUCCGGAGAGGGAGCCUGAGAAACGGCUACCACU